CAAAUCCACUGGUAAGACAGCAUAUUGGUAUACACAUAUAUGUUGCAUACACACUAGCUAUUUUACAGUCAAUAUAGUUCCACUGACAAUCAACGACUAAUCUAUCCGAUGCAAACUAAUUUCGAUUCUGACUUUCUAAAGGUUGAAUUCUGAUUGACAAAGAAUACCUCUUGUUCAUGUCGACAUCGGCUUUCUUGCAGACAAUGUUGGCCAAUCGCCUCCCAAUACCUUUGAUAGAGGUAAGGGCAAACAUAAUCUUUU
rnacentral:lncRNA from 1 species